rnacentral:lncRNA from 1 species
UUUCCAUGGAGACAAACCCCUCCGGCGGAAACGUUCCCUUUGUCACUAUAGACUGAACUCGCUGUGAACCUUUUCGAUUAUUAGUAGCGGCUCGUGAAGUAGCCCUCUUUCUUUACAAAAAAAGGAUACAUGCCCCUUUACUUGAUAUUAUAUUAGUAAAGUCAAGCCUAAAGGCCCUUUACUAAUAUAAUAGAAGGUAAGGCAGUCAAGCCCUAUCUAAGUAAAGCUACGGCUCCUUGGUGGGAAUGAAAAGGCGGUACCCCUAUCACAACAAGGCAAGUUCAGUUGGCGGACCACUUUUUGCCGGGGGAGGAAUCGUUUUUGUAGUAAAAAAAGCUUAUGCACCUAGCUCGCUGGAAGCUAAGAGUCUUAUAGCCCAAAAACGGGAAUAGAGGUUUUAGUAGUUCCUUACUUAAUACACUAAUCUAUUUAUAGUCAAGCAAGCCUUUCACCUGGCUAACACAGAAAAAAGCACCAGCUGGGCCUCUCUCUUUGUU